rnacentral:rRNA from 1 species
GACGAACGCUGGCGGCGUGCCUAAUACAUGCAAGUCGAGCGGACCGAGCACUUCUUCGGAAGUGCGGGGUUAGCGGCGGACGGGUGAGUAACACGUAGGCAACCUGCCUAUAGGAUCGGGAUAACAUUCGGAAACGGAUGCUAAUACCGGAUACGCAGUAUCCUCGCAUGGGGAGACUGGGAAAGACGGUGCAAGCUGUCACCUAUAGAUGGGCCUGCGGCGCAUUAGCUAGUUGGUGGGGUAACGGCUCACCAAGGCGACGAUGCGUAGCCGACCU